rnacentral:ncRNA from 2 species
AGUUUUACUAAAGCGCCUGGACUGUUUUCGAACGGAAGAAAACAGUUGACGAGGAAGAGGUUCAUCGAACAUCGGCGGAUACCUCUCGAUUGCUACACCACAAUCGAACGGUUUUGUGAAAAACAGAGAGGUGACUUUCUGAACAAAAGCAAAACCAUGGUGAUAA